UUGCUUGCUUCAGUAGCACAUAUACUAAAAUUGGAACAACAGAGAAGAUUAGCAGGGCCCCUGCGCAAGGAUAACACACAAACUCGUAAAGAGUUCCGUAUUUUU
rnacentral:snRNA from 1 species